rnacentral:snoRNA from 1 species
GGACGAUGACGACAACUUGAAAGGUCUCGUUCGACUGAUAGGCCAUAUCGGCCAUGUUGACCAUUCAAAAAAGAUCACCACCCAUAAUCUGAUGUCC